rnacentral:tRNA from 1 species
AAAAUUUUAGUUUAAAAUUAAAAUUUAAUAUUUACAAUAUUAAGAUAUAAAUUAUAUAAAUUUUA